rnacentral:rRNA from 1 species
AUGGCUCCCCAAGCUCCGACGUCGGCGGCCACCCCGACCUCUUGGGAACCUCCUGCCGGUGUCCUCCCUGCUUCAACGACGGCGCCCGCUCCGGCUUCUCGGGCGCCUCCUGCUGGCGCCACCACCGCUACGACGACGGAGGUCGCCCCGGCCUCUCUGACUCCUUCUAACGGCACCACCACUGCUACGACGAUGGAGGUCGCCUCAGCCCGUCUGCCGCUGCCCUCUAUGGACGGUGCCGCCACGACUUUCCUUGCCUUCCGCAAGGCCGACCCGGCCGUGCGGGGACGCCUGCAACUGCUGCGGCCCUCCACAACCAAGACGCAGGCCAGCUCCGAUCUGAGCCUGACGACUCCGACACCUACCACGCCGCCUGUCGCUGCUGCCGAAGACGUUGGUCUUCAUGGAGCUCCCUUUGUUGGCCCCGAUUUAGGUGCAGCCCCCGGCGCCGUUGUGCGGACCCCGCAGCCGCCGUUGGCCGUGUCGUGGGCUUCCCUCGCCGAUGACAUCUGCAGCAUUGACGAUGACGACGAGCUCGCCCCGCUGACGCCGUUGGCUGCCAGGUGCUCCAGUGGGGUGAGUGAUCCGGCUGCCUGUGCUGUUGUCGCUGCUGCUCCUGAGGCGUCUNNNNNNNNNNNNNNNNNNNNNNNNNNNNNNNNNNNNNGUUCGGUGUCGCUGGCCUCGGCUCUGGCUCCCCGGCCUAUCCUUGCCUGGCUCCGCGGUCGAUGCUGCAGAUGCCUCGCCCCUGGACACCGGGCGGCGGUUUGCAGAGAUCCCUUCCGAUGCUCUUGUUGCUUGGAGAACGGUCAUCGUGCUCGUGACUGCCGCAACCCAUGGCGUCCUCUCAGCUCGCUGGCAUGUCUUGUCGUCCCGCCCAUCUCUCGCCUCGGCAUCCUCAGGCCAUGCGCUGAUGUACAUGGGCCGCGAGUGCACUCCGAGGAUUAUUAUACUACAACUUGGUUAUUUUUAUCAAUACUACAUAAACUACUCCUUCCGUUUUCAAAUAUUUGA